ensembl:lincRNA Gm1965 predicted gene 1965
GUUCACCUCUCUGCAGCCGCUAGCCUUCCAACCAGCUCCUUCUGCGAGACGGCCUCUUUGCUCAGGGCCUCCCUGCAUCAGAGAAAAAUGAGUGAUGUGCCUGCUCAUCUCAGUGACCUGCUUGUCCCUAAGUGACCUCAUCUCUCGGUGGCCUCUUCUCAGCUAAGGAAGACACCCCCAGAACCCAUCUAGGGAGGAGUAGCUGCCAGACAAGGAGAGUGGAAUUUCAGCCUUUACAUUGAGGUGUAGCUGGAGCAAGAGCAGAGCUCAUUCCUGGAGAGAGCCACCACCCAGGAACAAGCUAUGAGAAGAAACAUCACCAACCAAGCUUUCGGAGAAACCCACAUGCCUGUGACUGCCUCAGCCUAUAGUCUCUGGGGUGAUAUGAGGAAAGGAUUCCUAACCGAUCCAUGCCUGAGCUCCAUCACCAGUGUCUCCUAUGUUACCUACAAAGUUGAAAACAUCCCGAUACCAACUUGCCCACUCCCCAUUGUUUACACAUGGAUACCCUUGGGCUAUAAUAUGAAGCGGGGUGUUGCUGUGCCCAAUAUAUGGUCCAGGCAGGUCUCCGACUUCUAUCACCAACUCGAGAGCCUGUGCCCAGAUGCCGUGGCACCCAACGCAUUUCCCUGUAGUCUCAAGGCAAUCCUACCCUCAUUCCUUUAAUUUUUCUUUCUUUGGCCAAUGACAUUUCCAGCCAUUGUCCCCAAGUUCAAUACUAGAUUCUAACCUGCCUGGAAGGGUAGAAGAGGCCUUGGGAUGGUGUGUGAGCAGCCCAGAUACCUGUCAGUCCAGCCCUCAAAUGUUUGCCCCUUCAACCCAGCAACCCCAACUGCCUACCCUGAAGAAUCCACUACGGCCUCUUGGAGCAGCUGGUGGGAUGUUCAGAGCUGUACCCUUUGAGCCAGCAGCCAGCCUCUACUGCCUGAAGGGUCUCGGCCAUGAUCCCCCCCUCCCCAUGCUCACAUGCCUUUCUGGCCUUCAAGGGGCCCAUUGGUUCUUUUGUUUUUCUCUUUUUUUCUUCUGAACUCAUUAUUGGCACCUUUACUCCCAGCUUCUGUUCCGGACCAGUUAUCAUUUGUCAUCUACCUGGGCAGAUAAAUUUUGUAUAUAAAUUAAAAAACAAACAAACAAACAAACAAAACUACACAAACACUAAGCUGAGAAACCUGUAAACUAUCAAGAUCCACCACCUACACUAGGCCCUCUUUUGCACUGAAAUGGAUCUCACUGUUCAGUACCUGGGCAUCCUGUGUACUACAGAGUCCCCAGUGCUUAUACAUGAAUGUCCUGGGGCAGUUAUCUCAGGUGGCUUCUGGGGCAGUUAUCUCAGGUGGCUUCUUCCUAUGCCCUCAGUGUGGUCAAGGGAGGCCACCAGCUUUUAUUACCAACUCGAGAGCCAGUACCCAGAUACCAUGGAGUCCAAUAUGUUACCUUGUUUCAUGGGAUUCCCACCCCCGACUUCCUCAGGCUUUCAAAGCCUCUGCCCAGUCCUCUUCCCUCAGAGAAGGUCCUUUACUCCCUGGCUGCCAUGUAGUGACCCCAGAGCAUUCUGGCAUCACAGAACCCAGCAGGCACUCCCCGAAAUCUCUUGAAAAGCCCCACUUAAUGGAGGAUGGACUUGGGACGGGGGUAGGGUGGGGAAACAGGUUCACUGCACACACACACACACACACCCCAUAUUGUUUCCUCUCAAGAGCUGGUAACACCGUCCC